rnacentral:lncRNA from 1 species
CUUUGACUUGAGCCUCUCCGUUGAAAUGGUGGCGAGGCCCGCCCGGUCCUGGCGCCGGAGCCGGAGCGAGUGACGGACCGGGUGACAUUGCGUCGUAAACAGGGAGAACCGGUGGAGCCCGGCGGGAACUGGUGCAGGCUUUUUCUUGAGACGGUGGGUUCUCGGGUCGACUUCCGGUGCUCCUUCCGGUAACACGGCGGAGAUGGAUCGGAGGUUACGUCGGCGGUUGAAAUCUUCUUGGACGGAGCGAGGGAUCAAAAGACGUUCGAUCCCGUGGAUGAUACCAUCGGGUCGGGUUACGUCAUCGGGUUUAGUGAUUACGGCGGAGUUGACUUUUCCGGCGGUGAAAUGGAGGUGAUCGUUGGAGAGACUGCGGUGGCUGACGACGGAUGAGGCGGAGAGUUGCGGAGAAGUGAUUCUUUUGGGGAGAAUGUGGAACAUCAAGAGAGUUUGUAAUGAUUUGAGAUUCUUUGGUUGUAACAAGAAAGACUUGAACUCAGGGUCAAGGUUACGUUCUAAAGCUUCGUUACGAGGGGCGAAGAUCGUGAUGUUGUGUUGACCAACGGCUUCUUCUAAGGUUUGGAGGAGAAGAGCUUUCUCCACGAGUUCUGCUAGUUCGGUGUAGUGAGAGUCGAGAAGAGCCACGAGGACGGAGUUGGAGUUUAUUUGACCCGACCCGGUUUUAUCGGGUAAUGCGGUGGUGAUAAUGGAGGAGGCAGUCAAAAGGAGGAGGGAGAAGAGGAACUUGGAGACGCCUUCCCUGCGAGUGAGAGAAGAAAGAAUAGAAAGUGUCGGCGAUUUAAAGAGGUUUGGUUUGUAAUUUGAGAUGGUAAGGUGAUGUGAUUUUGAUUAUGAUUGUGAUGUUUCUUCUUCCCAACUUUUUUUUUUUUUUUGUGUUUCAUUUUCUUGGAUAUUUAAUGAUUUUCGGUGGGUGGGUUUAAAUGCUUUUCUCUAAUUGUUUUUUUUUAACAACGCUUUUCACUCUUUUCUCUAAUUGUAUUUAUUUAUUUAAUUUGGGAUUCGUUUUGGUUAUUUGGAGGACAAGAGUGAGGUCCACACGGGAAGUAAAAGUUAUGGUGACGUCUUUUUAAACUUGAAGCCAAGAGUUCAGCUUUUUCAACAACUCAUCAGCUUCUGGUCUUUGAGUUUGAGCCUCGUGUUGUGUGUGUCGGUUACUCAUAUGCACAAUUCACGUUGCCUUCGAGUCAAAUAUAUUUUCCCUUUUUUUGGGUUUUUUCUCCUGUGAUAAAAGAAAAAAAAUAUCAUUUGUUUCAUGUUUCAUAUUAAGUGUCACUUUAUCAUUUUUUCUUGUUACAAAAAUGUGUCAUUUUAGAAAUCUAAUACAACUUUCAGUUUAAAAUAAUUACAACUGCAUUGAUUUUAUAAAUAAUUUUAUUUAUCUCAAAUACUAUUGGUUGAUUGUGUAUAAUUAAUAAGAACUUAAAUACAUUUCAAUCAUUUUCUUAAACUGUGUGAAAAAUGUAAAAGUGACAUUUUUAUAAAACAGAGUGAGUAGAAAAUAGAACACACGGAAUCGUAAUGUGUUUAUUUGUGACUUAAACAUUGAUUAGUUUUGUGUUAAGAAAAAAAACAUUGAUUAGUUCUCUCAAAUGCAUUGCAAGUUUCCAUGACGAUUGCUACUUGUGAUUUAGGCUCUUGCCACUGGUUUCACACCCAUUAAUCAUUAUAUACCUUGGCCUAGUAAAGCAGCUUCCCACGAGAGAUUUCUAGUGUUCCAAACUCAUAUUUGAAAACCGAAAAAGUCUAGAAAGCUGAUUUACUAGGCAAAGGCAUAUAGAAAACUAAAGCUGCUUAGUUUGGGUUAUGAUCAUAUUCUUUAGUUUUUGGUGUACAUAAACAUUCUUUUUCAGAUGAUCAAUAAAUUUAAUAUUUCAUCAGAAAAAAAAAACUAAAGCUGCUUGGAAGAUAUAUGUAUGGUUUACUUAGUUCAGUUCAAAACAAUUAAAAUUAUCAUUGAACAUAUAUAUUGCAACCACCCAAAAAUUGAUCAUUUACAUUAUUACUUGAUUCUGUUCACAAAUUUUUUCACAUGUUUACAGAACUGUAAAAAUUUAUCAUGUCCGGAUUUCAUUUGGCCAUCUCACUGACAUGUGUGAAAUUGUGAACCAAACAUUCUGCAUGCUACCUCCAUCAAUUUCCCUGCACAUGAUACAAAAUCAGUUAGAAAUUAUUGUUUUUUGUUUGAGGAAAUUAUCAUUAUCCCAACCAGUUUGUUUUUCCUGGUGACAUUGUAUUGAAUUAACAAUAUAACAAGAAAAUAACAUUUAUAAUGAUUUAUUAUAACUUAAUGUUCAAAUAGAUAUAUUAAGACGGAAAAGGAAGUCAUGAAUCAGAGCAAGUUGUCUUUUUUAUAUAUAUCAAAGAGCAAGUUGUCUCUAUCAACCAAAAUGACACACAACUCCGCUUUUCAAAAAGAAAAUAAGCACUUUGUGGUUUUCUUUUUACUAUUAACAUGGGAUUCUUCGUCGGUGGGUGAUUAAAUAGUUUAUAAUCCAAAUUAAUCCCACACCAUUAUUUAAUACUAUUGGAAUAUAUGUUAUAUUAUCAUACCAAAGUUUGUUAACGAGACUUUGUCUCAUUCUCACACGUCUAAUCUCACUUUCUACUUAGUACUCUGUCAUUGCAAAGACUUAACUAUAUGUGACUAAUUAUAAUUUAUCUGUUUAUAAUCAUGGUUCAAUUAUAUUUUCCAUCAGCUAGAGAAAAAUCACACACAAAAUUCCUAAAGCAAUGAAUGUUAUUCUAGCUUUUGUAAUAAUGUUUCAAACAAACAAAACAAAAACUUUUCAAUGGUGUUAUGUACUAUGUUUAGUUUAAAAUUAAAUAGGUUGGGGUUAAAACGUCAAAAUCAGAUAGCUAACGACCAAAAUUAAGAAGCUUGAAAUUUAUUAAAAAUUGAUUACCUCUUCUCGGUUUAGCGGUUUUCUUAACAACCGGACCGGCGGAUUUCUUCUCAACCGGAGUUUCUUCCUCCGGGAAUAAAACACCGUCAAUCCCCUGAACCGAAAUACGUCCAUCGGUAUAGAUAUCAGGAUCGAACAAAUAAGCCGAACCGUCACCAUGACCGAAUUUAACCGAACCGUCUGCCUCCUGAGCCUCAACCUUGUGAGGAAACCGGAGCGAAUCAUACCGAAUUUUCCCAAACCGGCGUACAGAAUUGUACAUACUCUCCUCGGUUUGGUACUCCGGUAUGAUAUGGUAAUACAUUAUUUGCUCUGGAGCUCCCGGUUCGCUCAAUUGGUCUGUGGUCAACUUAGCCAUAGCUUCGUCGUUCGGAGCUAGGACCGUUAAAACGUAGCCUUCCGACACGAGCCGACCCAUCUCGGUGGCUAGAGAAGUGAGGUUGACGAGAAUGUCCGCCAUCUCGUUGUAUCCACCGUAAUGGAGCAGAGUGUGGAUGAAAUCUUUGACUUGAGCCUCUCCGUUGAAAUGGUGGCGAGGCCCGCCCGGUCCUGGUGCCGGAGCCGGGGCGAGUGACGGACCGGGGGACAUUGCGUGUGGUGCCGGAGCCGGAGCGAGUGACGGACCGGGUGACAUUGCGUCGUAAACCGGGAGAACCGGUGGUGCUCCGGCGGGAACUGGUGCAGGCUUUUUCUUGAGACGGUGGGUUCUCGGGUCGACUUCCGGUGCUCCUUCCGGUAACACGGCGGAGAUGGAUCGGAG